CCUACGGGGGGCAGCAGUGGGGAAUAUUGGGCAAUGGGCGCAAGCCUGACCCAGCAACGCCGCGUGAAGGAAGAAGGCUUUCGGGUUGUAAACUUCUUUUCUGAGGGACGAAGAAAGUGACGGUACCUCAGGAAUAAGCCACGGCUAACUACGUGCCAGCAGCCGCGGUAAUACGUAGGUGGCAAGCGUUAUCCGGAUUUAUUGGGUGUAAAGGGCGUGUAGGCGGGAAUGCAAGUCAGAUGUGAAAACUCUGGGCUCAACCCAUAGCCUGCAUUUGAAACUGUAUUUCUUGAGUGCUGGAGAGGCAAUCGGAAUUCCGUGUGUAGCGGUGAAAUGCGUAGAUAGACGGAGGAACACCAGUGGCGAAGGCGGAUUGCUGGACAGUAACUGACGCUGAGGCGCGAAAGCGUGGGGAGCAAACAGGAUUAGAUACCCCAGUAGUC
rnacentral:rRNA from 1 species